UACGGAGGGGGCUAGCGUUGUUCGGAAUUACUGGGCGUAAAGCGCACGUAGGCGGCUUUGCAAGUUAGAGGUGAAAGCCCGGGGCUCAACUCCAGAAUUGCCUUUAAAACUGCAUCGCUAGAAUUGUGGAGAGGUAAGUGGAAUUCCGAGUGUAGAGGUGAAAUUCGUAGAUAUUCGGAAGAACACCAGUGGCGAAGGCGACUUACUGGACACAUAUUGACGCUGAGGUGCGAAAGCGUGGGGAGCAAACAGG
rnacentral:rRNA from 1 species